AGAUUGGGAGCGAGUAAUCGGCAUCGUCACUGAAACAGCAUAAAAGCGCAAGUUAGUAACUCACGCUAUCGAAUCCCCGCUCAAAGUAAAACCCAAAUCAUGCGAAAGUAAAGAAGUGUUAUCCACAUCUAACUCCCGAUGUUACGUUGUCGGCCGCCAACGUAACCCUCCGCGAAGUUAGAAGCCAAACACUUCAGUCAACUCUAACUCUUUAGAGUUAUCAUAAUACCCAAUCAUGAUACUUUCGCUCACAAGUCGAAUAGACCUCGUCUCUCACGAGCCUAAUUCCUAUAGUCCAACCGGCCUAAGGUUUGCUAGGUCCCCUAAGACUUAACCCUAGGCUCUGAUACCAAAUUAAUCUGUCACGCCCCGGGACCCAGCGGAAGCCCGCCCGGCGCGUGCCCAGACCCGCCAUACGUCUAAAACAUAUAAGGCGUCUAAAAACAAUAAUAAAUAAAACAACAAUAAAAGACAACUAGGAGUAUCAGAGCAUGAUAUAAUACUAAGUUCUACAAUAGAGAAGGAGCAUAAAGCUGGAAUCCACUAAUAAAAGCAUAAAGUAAUACAAGGAAAUUCCAAAUACAGGUGCUAAAAGUAGAUACAUAGGUGGUCUCUAUACAUGGAUACAAAAUCUCUCACUCUCUCUCAACUACAAAAAGAAAGAGUAAACCACCUAGGCAAAGAACCGCUCCUCGCUAGCUAGCUAUGCGAUCCCCUUGCCGCGAUCCCGUGCCUC
rnacentral:lncRNA from 1 species